UACGGGAGUGGCAAGCGUUAUCCGGAAUUAUUGGGCGUAAAGCGUCCGCAGGCGGCCCUUCAAGUCUGCUGUUAAAAAGUGGAGCUUAACUCCAUCGUGGCAGUGGAAACUGUUGGGCUAGAGUGUGGUAGGGGCAGAGGGAAUUCCCGGUGUAGCGGUGAAAUGCGUAGAUAUCGGGAAGAACACCAGUGGCGAAGGCGCUCUGCUGGGCCAUAACUGACGCUCAUGGACGAAAGCCAGGGG
rnacentral:rRNA from 1 species